rnacentral:rRNA from 1 species
GACAGAGGGUGCAAGCGUUGUCCGGAUUUAUUGGGCGUAAAACGUCUGUAGGCGGUUUAUUAAGUCUAAAGUUAAAUAGUUGAGCUCAACUCAAUCUCUGCUUUAGAUACUGAUAGACUAGAGUGCGUUAGGGGUUGUUGGAAUUCCCGGUGUAGUGGUGAAAUACAUAGAUAUCGGGAGGAACUCCAGUGGCGAAAGCGAACAACUGGGGCGUAACUGACGCUGAGAGACGAAAGCGUGGGGAGCAAACAGG